ensembl:lncRNA
AAACAUUUGUAGAUACCUGCUCAUCCAACAUCUGUUCCAAAAUCAUGAGAGGUCGUUCUACUGUUCUGGGAAGGCUUUACACCGGAUGUUGGGACAUUGCUGUGAGGAUUUGAUUGCAUUCAGCUACAAGAGCAUUAGAGAGGUUCAGGUACUGAUGUUGGGUGAUUAAUGUGACUCAUUCUGCAUCACAAGUGCCAUUCCAACCCAUCCUAAAAGCAUUGGACGGUGCUCCAUCACUUCACAGCUCAAUGCUGUGGGGGCUUUACACCCCUCCAGACGAUGCUUGGCCUUAGGCAUGGUGACCCAUGGUGGCUCAUGCCUCUCCAGAUCAUCUCACUUUAUCACCAAUGUUUUCCAUUAAUGUGUGCAGACUUUUGGACAUAGGAUCAGUUGCCUGGAGAGGGAUUGAGCCGAGUCCUGGAUUCCACAGCAUUCUGAAUGGAGAUUCGCCUUUGAAAUGUCCACUCCUAAUCUGGGAAAGUGACCCAUGGUGUAUGCAGGACAUAAGGUACACAGAUAAGUGUGGUUUUCCAGGCAUGAACUAGUCCUAAUCUUGUACUAGAUUUCGGUGUCUAAGGAAAAUUAGCAUCAGAACGUCCUUUAGGCUGCAAAACAGGCACCUGGUUGAAACCAGGCCUAAAUGUGCAUCUAAUUUUUCACCCAGGAAGCCCUACAUGUGUGAUCUGGCCCUGAGCUCUGAGCUCUGAGACUGAAACCUCCUGUGGCCCCAUCAGCUGUGUUUUUCAUCACUGAAGAUAUGCUGUGCCCAUCUGCUAAUCCUGGGAGUGCGUGUAGGCUGCUAGUCACUCUGCUGUAUGGGCUGGAGUCUUAUUUGGAUGCUACAGAGGACAGCAGCUUUCUACAAGACAUGCUUAUGGGCAAUAGCCUACAUGUGCUCAUCAAGCUCCAUGACAGGCUUCAGAGGUUUGGAGCUCAGCGGCCGGCUCCGUUCCAGGACAACGCUGAGGAUCUGGCCCGAGAGGUGAGUACUCUCCAGAGGAGAGUCAUUGUGUUUG